AUUAACGCUGGCGGCGUGCAUAACACAUGCAAGUCGAACGAUGAAACUUAAAUGAUUUCUUCGGAAUGAACUUAAGUGGAUUAGUGGCGGACGGGUGAGUAACGCGUGAGUAACCUGCCUUACACAAGGGGAUAGCCGUUGGAAACGACGAAUAAUACCCUAUGAAACUAUCACUUCGCAUGAAGCGAUAGUCAAAGUGUUAGCGGUGUAAGAUGGACUUGCGUCUGAUUAGCUAGUUGGUGAGAAAAAAGCCCACCAAGGCAACGAUCAGUAGCCGGCUUGAGAGAGUGUACGGCCACAUUGGGACUGAGACACGGCCCAGACUCCUACGGGAGGCAGCAGUGGGGAAUUUUGCACAAUGGGGGAAACCCUGAUGCAGCGACGCCGCGUGAUUUAGAAGGCCUUCGGGUUGUAAAAAUCUUUUGUAUAGGAAGAAAAUGACAGUACUAUACGAAUAAGGGCCGGCUAAUUACGUG
rnacentral:rRNA from 1 species